GGUCUUGCUGGGUAUCCCUGUGUGCCUGUGGCCUUCUGAAGCUCCAGUGAGUUUGCUGAACCCCACGGAAUGUUUUUACCACGAUAAUCCAGUAUUUAUAAAGAAGAAACAGUCUUGUAUAUAAGGUCUUCACCCUUUGUAGCUAGUUUUGAGUAACUGCAAAUAUGAAUCUGCCCAGCUAUAAUAUUUUUACAAAUGGAGUGAAGGAGAAGGGGUGAGGAAAAAAUGGAGGAGGAAAAGCCAGUUAUCUCUUAAUGACUUUGGUGCUGGAAAUCAUUCAAAUUACUCUUCCACCUCGUAGAACAAGACCUGAAAAUGGUACUUGGAGCUAAAGACUUAGAUUGGAUUUACGGGGCUUAGCUGGUUGCCAGCAAACUGUCAUGGAGUGAAGUCUAAUUGCAUCCACAAAUGAUGUAUCCCAUCGAUGAGCACCAAGAAGACCCCAGUUCUUCACUCCCAGACUGAUGCCCAGCCUGACCUGCCACUGCAGAGCUAUUCCUGAGCUCAGAUUUACUGUGACUCGCUGUAGAGAACUAAGCCAAACCUGCUGUUUUAUUGGAAAAUCUCCAUUCAGACACAAAUUGAGUUCAAUAAUUGCUCAGCCAACUGUGUUUUUCUUGAACUUGCUACAUCUACUACUUAUAUAGAGUAUUUUAGGAGUUUCUCUCCAGUAGCUGUCUUGUUGGAAGACAAAGCACUGGUCUGUUUGGUAGAUCUUAAGAUAGAAUAAAGCAAGUGCCACCCUGCAGCUGGUUUAUUGGAGGACUUAUGUGGAGCUGAGAAAACACACUGGUACAGAUGUGUUCCUGUUUCUUAGAUUUCAAAACUUCCUAGUUUAAAUUCAUCUUCAAGCUCCACUUUGAUAUCUGCAGAACUUAAAGACAGUAAAAGAAGCACGAGCAUAUAGGACUGAUGCUGCCAGUCAUUUCUGUCUGAGAGCUCAAAUACAGCAGCAUAAGAGCAAGUUGUUUUCUCAGCAGAGAGAAGUAGAGGGUGAAGUGCAUCAUGUGAAGUAUUACUGAGCUGCUGGGUGCCACUAACUGUGAGUUACGGUCACCUGCUGCUACCCCAUCCCUAAAGCCCCUGGCUGCCUGCUGUAACUGCCCGAGACCCUGGGCUAGCAGCAACCCUCUGCAUUACUACUCUGCAGCUUCAAAAGGUGAGACCCCGAUAUUCUGCUGAAAGAAGAUGCUGUGCUUCCCUUUAUUUGAAAAUAACUUUGGAAAAAGUUGGUUUCCUUGAAGGGAAAAGGUUCCUGAAUAUACCAUCCUCUGAGCACAGCAUGCUUUCAUAGCAAGCGGAGCCCGUUUGUCCGUGUCACCUUAACAUUUAGUUUUUACUUGCUGAUAUCAAUUAAGGAGGAAAUUCAUAAAGGUCAGUUAGUGGCCUAUUAUUCACACAACCCCAGAAAUUAUGGGUAACUCCCAGACAGAACAGCUUGUUUCCUUGCUGGUGUUAUAGCUGUUUGAGUUUUGAACUCCACUGCUAUUAGUUCAGUCCCUGGGAUUUUAG
rnacentral:lncRNA from 7 species